CUACGUGCCAGCAGCCGCGGUAAUACGGAAGGUCCAGGCGUUAUCCGGAUUUAUUGGGUUUAAAGGGAGCGUAGGCCGUGGAUUAAGCGUGUUGUGAAAUGUAGACGCUCAACGUCUGAAUUGCAGCGCGAACUGGUUCACUUGAGUAUGCGCAACGUAGGCGGAAUUCGUCGUGUAGCGGUGAAAUGCUUAGAUAUGACGAAGAACUCCGAUUGCGAAGGCAGCUUACGGGAGUACAACUGACGCUGAAGCUCGAAGGUGCGGGUAUCAAACAGGAUUAGAUACCCUGGUAGUCCGCACAGUAAACGAUGGAUGCCCGUUGUUAGUUCACUUUAGAAUUAGCGACCAAGCGAAAGCAUUAAGCAUCCCACCUGGGGAGUACGCCGGCAACGGUGAAACUCAAAGGAAUUGACGGGGGCCCGCACAAGCGGAGGAACAUGUGGUUUAAUUCGAUGAUACGCGAGGAACCUUACCCGGGCUUGAA
rnacentral:rRNA from 1 species